rnacentral:tRNA from 1 species
GCCCGCUUGGCGAAACGGUAGACGCAGCAGACUUAAAAUCUGCCGAUUUUUAAUCAUGCCAGUUCAAGUCUGGCAGCGGGCA